CCUGCAACCUUGUGGUUCCUAGUUGGAUUCCUUUAUGCUGCUCCACGAUGGGAACGCCUCUAGAAGCUUUUCAAACCUGAAUCAGAUUGGACCCUUCCACCUGAGCUGCCUGAUCCACAUAUCAAACCAGCUUUGCAAAGUCCUGACCCAGAAAGGAGAGCCGUGGGGUCCAGUAUUGAAACUCUAAGCUCGGUCGAGUUGCUCACAAGGUCUCUGGCAUGUUCUGUUUCCCUCAAACAUUUCAAAUACCCUAUAGUGCCCCUGAGAGUCCUCUCUGGCCCGCUGCGUGUCUCAACGCACAGUCUGGGAAGCACGGGCCUAAUUAAUGCGAGUGUCCGUGGUUGGUCCCCAGUCUGGGUUGUGUUUUAAAGCUCUGUCCUCGGAGCCGUGUGUGCAGCUCAUCGUUCCCACCCAGGGGAAGGUACCCCAAAUCUGCCACAUUUUCCUGCCCAUUUCCCCAGAUGGACCCCCAGGCUGCCCCCGCCUCUCUGCCGUCACAGAUGACCCCGCCCUUGGGUGGGCUUGCGGGGCAAGGCUUUGUUCACCUGGAGCAGACCCGCGAGCCCUGUGCUUAGUCCGGAAGCCCAGCCCACGUCCCGCCGGGUCCCACCUUCUCAGUCCGCGUGGCCUUCGGCAGGUGUGUCAGUUGAAGAGGCACGAAGUGGUCUCCCAGCUGACGUGGCAUUUCUUUAGUCUCUGAAUUUGAGCAUCUUUGCAUGCUCUUCUUGGUUGGCUCCUCUUCCGUAACUGGCUGGGCAUACCCGUCAGACACUGGUCUCUGGGGGCUGCUGACCAUCAGAAACCGCUCGGCCAGAGUUCCUCGCACGUCCGAGGUAUGGAUCCCGCGAGGGUUUUACGCAUCAGAAGUGUCUUCUCCGUUCUGUCAUCUGGCCGACAUUUUGCUCACGGUUUCCCUUUGGGGAACAGCGAAUUUAAAUUCUGUGUUGAUUGACUCCAUCAUGUUUUUGCCUCUUGCUUUUCGCAGUUAAAUUUGGAGACAUGCUCCCCUGUCCUCUAUCCUAGUCUCCUGCAUGUCCUCCUGCCAGGUUUUUCUUCAGCGUUCGGGUCUUCGUGGGAUCCAGAGUCCGCCUCUGUGUGUGCUGCCAGGCGGGGAUCCGGGUCUUGCAUCAGGUUCAAGCAGAGGAGCAGAGCCAGUAAGGGUUCCGUGUGAAGAGACUUACUGCCCGUUGUUGCUGGUAUUAAAAGCUGCACCCAGAGGGAGAGACAGGGUGGCCACGGUGGUUCCAUCUCACUCAAAAUGGGAACGCAGGAGACGCCAAAGCAAAAGAACCACCAGGAACCCCUGUUCUGGAUUCGCUAAGUCCGCAGAACUGCCACACAGGCUUUCUCUUUACUGAGGCGCGUGUGGAUGAGGCGCCUUUUACUCGGGACCACUUGCAGGUUGGCUACAGGCACCCUGACAGUUCACCUGGCCACGUCCUCGUGCCUCCCGGGAGGAGGGGUCUGCGCGGCAGCAGUCGGCACUCGGAGCCCCCGCCGGCGUCCACGCGCCACCCUCCUGCCGUGCACCUGCAGGGUUGUACGGACUAGAAGCGAGAAGGUUCCAGGUGCUUCCUCAGCGGCUCUGAGUGAAUCAGCGCCCCCUCCUCUCUCUCUCUCUCACCCUUGCGUCUUAUGCUGUGGUUGGUUUGUAAUUUAAUCUCAUGUAUUAGGAAACGCUUUCAUUCCUAAACUUUGUCAUCGUUAUCAUCUGCAGUCUGUUUGCAGAUUUCCCCGGGGGUUUGCCGAGACUCCCGCCCUGCUUGCUUUCUUGCUUCUCUGACCUUCUAUCUGGGACCAGACUCUCCGCCCAGAGGGCAUCCUUCGGCAAGCCUGCUACCGUAAACUCUGUCUCUCUCCGUCUGACUGAAGACUUAUUUUAGGUCGGCAACUGUAUAACCUAUUGCUGCUGCAAGAAGUUGCCACAAAUUAAAGCAACACAGAUUUA